rnacentral:rRNA from 1 species
AGUGAACGCUGGCGGUAGGCCUAACACAUGCAAGUCGAACGGCAGCACAGUAAGAGCUUGCUCUUACGGGUGGCGAGUGGCGGACGGGUGAGGAAUACAUCGGAAUCUACUUUUUCGUGGGGGAUAACGUAGGGAAACUUACGCUAAUACCGCAUACGAACUACGGGUGAAAGCAGGGGAUCUUCGGACCUUGCGCGGUUGAAUGAGCCGAUGUCGGAUUAGCUAGUUGGCGGGGUAAAGGCCCACCAAGGCGACGAUCCGUAGCUGGUCUGAGAGGAUGAUCAGCCACACUGGAACUGAGACACGGUCCAGACUCCUACGGGAGGCAGCAGUGGGGAAUAUUGGACAAUGGGCGCAAGCCUGAUCCAGCCAUACCGCGUGGGUGAAGAAGGCCUUCGGGUUGUAAAGCCCUUUUGUUGGGAAAGAAAAGCAGCAGGUUAAUACCCCGCUGUUCUGACGGUACCCAAAGAAUAAGCACCGGCUAACUUCGUG